AUCAAACUCUGGAAAAGAAAAACUGGCCUUCUUUCAGCCUGUUUGAACACUGAGGCAUUGGCUGAGUUUGGCAGUAGCUCCCCAUCUCUGCUGUAUCCCAACUAUCCCUCCAGUGCUGUCGUGGCAAAAGUGUUUCUGCAAAUGCUCAUUUCUGGUAUGUCUCUUCACUAAUUCCUACACAUUCUACAGAAGGAGUAUGCAAUUUAUUCCUCAGAUGCACAGGUUACCUAAUUUCAACUGCUGCUUUCUGCUUUUGGUUCUAUGGUCACUACCCUAUAAGCCCAAACUCGCUGAACUGUGGAGUUUCUCCACUGACUUUAGCAGGAUUUCAUUCACCUGACAGGUGCUCUAAGGAACUGAAAGGCAGCAAAUCUGAAAUAUCAGCUGGAGAGGGGCAUUUCUGUUCCCCUUUUUGUGGAAACACAUGACCAAGACCAAGAGAAGAUUCCUCUUGGCUACAGGCUUUUGUUUUUCCUCAACAGCCACCUGCAUUUGGUUCUGACCUGUGAUGCAACAUUAGUGGAAACACCACCUAAAGAGAAGGCAACUCUAAUGGACAGAUACAGAGAUUUUCAUCUUAAUUGCAUGUUUUUAGGGCUUCAAAGAGUGUUUCAGAAUCAUCAGUGUAUUAUAACAUUUUUUCUGAAAUGCAAUUAAUAUUUAUUGUAUGGAUUCUUUGGCCUUCCAAAGUAACAGUAUUGGUGUCAUUAAAUAGAUGUAAUGAUUUUUUGACUCGGAAAUAAAUUCUGACUUUCCAUUCAGGCAAAACACACAGAUGCAAAGGUAGGGACAGUUGUGAAUGACAUCUAACCAACAAAUGGAGCUCAAACAGGAGGAAACACUGGAGAAGGAAAUUAAAGAAGGAGAAGGACUGUUAAAGAACAGUUCCAACAAUUUGGAUGUGCCACAGAAACAUCCCUGUCCCAACCACUGUGUAUCUCACUGGAAGAAACUGUGCUGUGGUCUCUGUGGUCCCUAACUGGAAGCUCAGACCUGUGCUGUUCCUUUGGGAGAAGUUGGGAAGGACUCUCAGCACAGGGAGGAGGGACCAUGGGAACAUGAGCAGCUCCAAGGGAUCAGGGUCUCACUGCCCCUCCAACAGCUUCCAGAUCAGCUGUGACCUCUCUGUUAUUCCAGCAAAUAUCUGCUCACAUCCCUGGGUUUUCUGCUUUUGCUUCCCAGGGGGGAUGAAAAAAGGGGAGAUUGGGAGCCAAGAGAAAAGCACCCUCGCCUUUCACAUGGGGCUUAAUGUUGGCACGUCAUUGUAACGUUAUGAAAAUCUUUAUUGGAGCUUGAAUAAUGCCCUGAAAUAGAUAUUGUGCUGGUUAAUAAAUUACAUUUGCAAAUGAGAGAGAUUUUAUCA
rnacentral:lncRNA from 1 species